rnacentral:rRNA from 1 species
UGGGGAAUAUUGGACAAUGGGCGAAAGCCUGAUCCAGCCAUGCCGCGUGUGUGAAGAAGGUCUUCGGAUUGUAAAGCACUUUAAGUUGGGAGGAAGGGCAGUAAGCGAAUACCUUGCUGUUUUGACGUUACCGACAGAAUAAGCACCGGCUAACUCUGUGCCAGCAGCCGCGGUAAUACAGAGGGUGCAAGCGUUAAUCGGAAUUACUGGGCGUAAAGCGCGCGUAGGUGGUUCGUUAAGUUGAAUGUGAAAGCCCCGGGCUCAACCUGGGAACUGCAUCACAAACUGGCGGGCUAGAGUAGGGCAGAGGGUGGUGGAAUUUCCUGUGUAGCGGUGAAAUGCGUAGAUAUAGGAAGGAACACCAGUGGCGAAGGCGACCACCUGGGCUCAUACUGACACUGAGGUGCGAAAGCGUGGGGAGCAAACAGG